rnacentral:rRNA from 1 species
GACGAACGCUGGCGGCGUGCCUAAUACAUGCAAGUCGAACGCUUUGAUUUUCACCGGAGCUUGCUCCACCGAAAAUCAAAGAGUGGCGGACGGGUGAGUAACACGUGGGCAACCUGCCCAACAGAGGGGGAUAACACUUGGAAACAGGUGCUAAUACCGCAUAAUUUGUUUUUCCGCAUGGAAGAAUAAUAAAAGACGCUUCGGUGUCACUGUUGGAUGGGCCCGCGCUGCAUUAGUUAGUUGGUGGGGUAACGGCCUACCAAGACCAUGAUGCAUAGCCGACCUGAGAGGGUGAUCGGCCACACUGGGACUGAGACACGGCCCAGACUCCUACGGGAGGCAGCAGUAGGGAAUCUUCGGCAAUGGACGAAAGUCUGACCGAGCAACGCCGCGUGAGUGAAGAAGGUUUUCGGAUCGUAAAACUCUGUUGUUAGAGGAGAACAAGUGAGAGAGUUACUGUUCUCACCUUGACGGUAUCUAACCAGAAAGCCACGGCUAACUACGUGCCAGCAGCCGCGGUAAUACGUAGGUGGCAAGCGCUGUCCGGAUUUAUUGGGCGUAAAGCGAGCGCAGGCGGUUUCUUAAGUCUGAUGUGAAAGCCCUCGGCUCAACCGAGGAAGGUCAUUGGAAACUGGGGAACUUGAGUGCAGAAGAGGAGAGUGGAAUUCCAUGUGUAGCGGUGAAAUGCGUAGAUAUAUGGAGGAACACCAGUGGCGAAGGCGACUCUCUGGUCUGUAACUAACGCUGAGGCUCGAAAGCGUGGGGAGCAAACAGG